rnacentral:rRNA from 1 species
GGCGGCAGGCUACACAUGCAGUCGAGCGGUAGCACAGAGAGCUUGCUCUCGGGUGACGAGCGGCGGACGGGUGAGUAAUGUCUGGGAAACUGCCUGAUGGAGGGGGAUAACUACUGGAAACGGUAGCUAAUACCGCAUAACGUCGCAAGACCAAAGUGGGGGACCUUCGGGCCUCAUGCCAUCAGAUGUGCCCAGAUGGGAUUAGCUAGUAGGUGGGGUAACGGCUCACCUAGGCGACGAUCCCUAGCUGGUCUGAGAGGAUGACCAGCCACACUGGAACUGAGACACGGUCCAGACUCCUACGGGAGGCAGCAGUGGGGAAUAUUGCACAAUGGGCGCAAGCCUGAUGCAGCCAUGCCGCGUGUGUGAAGAAGGCCUUCGGGUUGUAAAGCACUUUCAGCGGGGAGGAAGGCGAUAAGGUUAAUAACCUUGUCGAUUGACGUUACCCGCAGAAGAAGCACCGGCUAACUCCGUGCCAGCAGCCGCGGUAAUACGGAGGGUGCAAGCGUUAAUCGGAAUUACUGGGCGUAAAGCGCACGCAGGCGGUCUGUCAAGUCGGAUGUGAAAUCCCCGGGCUCAACCUGGGAACUGCAUUCGAAACUGGCAGGCUAGAGUCUUGUAGAGGGGGGUAGAAUUCCAGGUGUAGCGGUGAAAUGCGUAGAGAUCUGGAGGAAUACCGGUGGCGAAGGCGGCCCCCUGGACAAAGACUGACGCUCAGGUGCGAAAGCGUGGGGAGCAAACAGGAUUAGAUACCCUGGUAGUCCACGCCGUAAACGAUGUCGAUUUGGAGGUUGUGCCCUUGAGGCGUGGCUUCCGGAGCUAACGCGUUAAAUCGACCGCCUGGGGAGUACGGCCGCAAGGUUAAAACUCAAAUGAAUUGACGGGGGCCCGCACAAGCGGUGGAGCAUGUGGUUUAAUUCAAUGCAACGCGAAGAACCUUACCUGGUCUUGACAUCCACAGAACUUUCCAAAGAUGGAUUGGUGCCUUCCGCAACUGGGAAACAAGUGCCUGCAUGGGGUGUCGUCAACUCGUGGUGUGAAAUGUGGGGUUAAGUCCCACAACAAGCGGAACCUUUUUCUUUUGUUGCCGGCGGGUGCGGCCGGGAACUUCAAAGGAAAAUGGCAAUUAAUCACCUGGAGGAAAGGU